GGCGGACGGCUGAGUAACGCGUAGGUGACUUGCCCCGAAGUGGGGAAUAACUGCCCGAAAGGGUGGCUAAUACCGCAUGUGUUCGUACGUUCACUCGUACGAGGAAAGCCGUGAGGCGCUUCGGGAGAGGCCUGCGUACGAUUAGCUCGUUGGUGGGGUAACGGCUCACCAAGGCGACGAUCGUUAGGUGGUCUGAGAGGACGAUCACCCAGACUGGGACUGAGACACGGCCCAGACUCCUACGGGAGGCAGCAGUCGGGAAUUUUGCACAAUGGGCGAAAGCCUGAUGCAGCAACGCCGCGUGAGGGAUGAAGGCCUUCGGGUUGUAAACCUCUUUUCUCAGGGACAAUGAUGACGGUACCUGAGGAAUAAGCCACGGCUAACUACGUGCCAGCCGCCGCG
rnacentral:rRNA from 1 species